rnacentral:rRNA from 1 species
GGUAACAGGGAGCUUGCUCCGCUGACGACCGGCGCACGGGUGCGCACCGCGUAUGGAACCUGCCUUUUACAGGGGAAUAGCCCAGGGAAACUUGGAUUAAUGCCCCGUGGCACCACGGCCCGGCAUCGGGAUGUGGUUAAAGCCUUCGGGCGGUAGAAGAUGGCCAUGCGUCCCAUUAGCUGGAUGGUAAGGUAACGGCUUACCAUGGCUACGAUGGGUAGGGGCCCUGAGAGGGGGAUCCCCCACACUGGUACUGAGACACGGACCAGACUCCUACGGGAGGCAGCAGUGAGGAAUAUUGGACAAUGGGCGAGGGCCUGAUCCAGCCAUGCCGCGUGCAGGAAGAAUGCCCUAUGGGUAGUAAACUGCUUUUAUACGGGAAGAAAAAGGGGCACGUGUGCCCCACUGACGGUACCGUAAGAAUAAGGACCGGCUAACUCCGUGCCAGCAGCCGCGGUAAUACGGAGGGUCCGAGCGUUAUCCGGAAUUAUUGGGUUUAAAGGGUCCGUAGGCGGGCCGGUAAGUCAGGGGUGAAAGUCUGUAGCUCAACUAUAGAAUUGCCUUUGAUACUGCCGGUCUUGAGUUAUGGUGAAGUUGCCGGAAUAUGUGGUGUAGCGGUGAAAUGCAUAGAUAUCACAUAGAACACCGAUUGCGAAAGGCAGGUGACUAACCAUAUACUGACGCUGAUGGACGAAAGCGUGGGGAGCGAACAGGAUUAGAUACCCUGGUAGUCCACGCCGUAACGAUGGAUACUAGCUGUCCGGUCCUUGAGCCUGGGCGGCCAAGCGAAAGUGAUAGUA